rnacentral:tRNA from 1 species
CGCGGGAUGGAGCAGCAUGGUAGCUCGUCGGGCUCAUAACCCGAAGGUCGUCGGUUCAAAUCCGGCUCCCG